GAUGAACGCUGGCGGCGUGCCUAAUACAUGCAAGUCGAGCGAACGGACGAGAAGCUUGCUUCUCUGAUGUUAGCGGCGGACGGGUGAGUAACACGUGGAUAACCUACCUAUAAGACUGGGAUAACUUCGGGAAACCGGAGCUAAUACCGGAUAAUAUUUUGAACCGCAUGGUUCAAAAGUGAAAGACGGUCUUGCUGUCACUUAUAGAUGGAUCCGCGCUGCAUUAGCUAGUUGGUAAGGUAACGGCUUACCAAGGCAACGAUGCAUAGCCGACCUGAGAGGGUGAUCGGCCACACUGGAACUGAGACACGGUCCAGACUCCUACGGGAGGCAGCAGUAGGGAAUCUUCCGCAAUGGGCGAAAGCCUGACGGAGCAACGCCGCGUGAGUGAUGAAGGUCUUCGGAUCGUAAAACUCUGUUAUUAGGGAAGAACAUAUGUGUAAGUAACUGUGCACAUCUUGACGGUACCUAAUCAGAAAGCCACGGCUAACUACGUGCCAGCAGCCGCGGUAAUACGUAGGUGGCAAGCGUUAUCCGGAAUUAUUGGGCGUAAAGCGCGCGUAGGCGGUUUUUUAAGUCUGAUGUGAAAGCCCACGGCUCAACCGUGGAGGGUCAUUGGAAACUGGAAAACUUGAGUGCAGAAGAGGAAAGUGGAAUUCCAUGUGUAGCGGUGAAAUGCGCAGAGAUAUGGAGGAACACCAGUGGCGAAGGCGACUUUCUGGUCUGUAACUGACGCUGAUGUGCGAAAGCGUGGGGAUCAAACAGGAUUAGAUACCCUGGUAGUCCACGCCGUAAACGAUGAGUGCUAAGUGUUAGGGGGUUUCCGCCCCUUAGUGCUGCAGCUAACGCAUUAAGCACUCCGCCUGGGGAGUACGACCGCAAGGUUGAAACUCAAAGGAAUUGACGGGGACCCGCACAAGCGGUGGAGCAUGUGGUUUAAUUCGAAGCAACGCGAAGAACCUUACCAAAUCUUGACAUCCUUUGACAACUCUAGAGAUAGAGCUUUCCCCUUCGGGGGACAAAGUGACAGGUGGUGCAUGGUUGUCGUCAGCUCGUGUCGUGAGAUGUUGGGUUAAGUCCCGCAACGAGCGCAACCCUUAAGCUUAGUUGCCAUCAUUAAGUUGGGCACUCUAAGUUGACUGCCGGUGACAAACCGGAGGAAGGUGGGGAUGACGUCAAAUCAUCAUGCCCCUUAUGAUUUGGGCUACACACGUGCUACAAUGGACAAUACAAAGGGCAGCGAAACCGCGAGGUCAAGCAAAUCCCAUAAAGUUGUUCUCAGUUCGGAUUGUAGUCUGCAACUCGACUACAUGAAGCUGGAAUCGCUAGUAAUCGUAGAUCAGCAUGCUACGGUGAAUACGUUCCC
rnacentral:rRNA from 1 species